AUUAUUUUUUUCAUUUUUCGACCUAUACUCUUCUACUUGUCUAGGGUUAUGGAAUAGGGUUAUGGAAAAGGGCUAUGUGGAGCAUCCCAGUGCACAGCAGCUAAAGAGUCAAGGAAAACAAACGACAAACUUGAUGAAGAGGGACUCGAAGUUGCCGUCUGCCGCCACGGAAUACUUCUGAGGAGCCUCAACAUGAUGCGUGGAGAUAUUUGCAUACCCACUGUUCUUGCAGAAGGAAUUGUCUGGCAGCAGGAACAAACAAUUCAUGUGUACGGAUGUGAUCUGCAAAUUUUGUCCAUACCUAACCAAAGUUUGCCUUCAUUGUCCAGAGCUCGCCACUCUUCUAGACAUGAAGCCACUUCUUUCCGUCAUGCAUGCAAAGGCACAUCGUUUGAAAUGCGAGCAAGAACCGACAUGCUAACCAUCCAGGCCGUGGGACAGAAGGAAGAACAACCUGCACAGAGCAUUGUUCCCAAGAUAUUUGAAGACAACAGCAAAAAUCAACAGGAGGAGACCUAGACUCAAAUGUUUAAGAGUGAUUUGGGUGUAGGCGAUGAGACUCUGGACAACGGAAGUUCAGCAAUGGGCUAAUAGAGAGGAAACAGCUUAGAACAUGGAUGGUCCCCAGGUACUACAGAGAACAAUUGAAGUCCUCUUACUUAGCAUCAAACAAAGGAAACAGAACCUCUUCCUUCAGACAGAUGGAUGCAAGAAAAGACACCCUCUGCGCAGAAAGAUAUUGGAAGAAAAGACCAAAUUGACAGCUGCCAUAGAGGAGUACAACACCCUUGUACUAGGUUCAGCAAUACCAUCUGCAGAUGAGAUCCUUUCCGCAGACCUUCAUGCAUGGCCUUGGGAGCUGCAUGGACAAACUGACUUACUCAAAGAAAAUGGCCUUUGACCAGGUGAUGCUCCUGAGAUGGCUGAAGGAGGAGGAGUUAAUUGUCCUAAAGGAAGUCAAGCAGCACUGGGAAAGCCUAAAGAGGGAAUCGGAGAAUGUGCAAGACUUUGCUUCACAUGUGGCACUUGACCUAAGCAGGCAAAGCUGGCAAUUGAAUCAGUCGGAAGCUGGGAGCAGAGGUCUCUUCUCCAUGCUUCAGAGGAGAGUCAGCAGCCUCCGAAGACACCAGGACUCUGUCAAACUGAUAUACAGCAAAGCUAUGGGCCAAGACACCUCCCUCCUAGAGACGACCUCCUGGAAGAGGACAUCUACGACAGCAUCCACUACAGCUCUGAUGACGAGGAAUCUCUCACAGACUGAAGGUGUUCGUUUGGGUGGGCGCAGUUUGCACUGGGUGAAAAGUGAUUCCAUUCGUUUUGCAUAUGUGCUUCAUCUGCCUUCCUAAGGAAAAAUAGUUUGAACAUUUUAUGGAAAAUAAACUUUUAUGUUUCUUCCUUGUUGACAAUGUGAUCAAGUGGCACAUACUUGAGAAGGGCGCUCAUCUGUUACUGCUUUUGCCCGGUUACAUGACCAGGUCAGAUGCACCCCUUUAAAUGGCCAGUCUGCAGUUGCUACAUCCACUUUUGGAUUCUUGAAGAAUAUAGUUCAACUACAGUACCCCAUCAGAUCCCAAAAUAUAAGCUUUUUUUUAUUCUACUCCAAUGUUUGUACAAAAAGUAAAUGUAAACAAACACUUUAUAGCAGGUGUCAAACUCAUUCCACAGGUGAGCAGAGUGUUUGCGGGUUUUCGUUCCUCCCUUGUACAUGAUUGAUGAAUUAAGGUCACUAAUU